AUUAGUAAAUUUUUAUUUUACGUUAUUUAUUUGUAUGUUAGAUUCUUUUUAGGAAUUCGGCAAAUUUUGUGUCCGCCUGUUUAACAAAAACAUCUUUUCUCGUUAGUUUUUGAAGUAUGACCUGCCCACUGACUUAUUGUUGAAGGGCCGCGGUAUUUUGACCGUGCAAAGGUAGCAUAAUCAUUAGUUCUUUAAUUGUGAUCUGGUAUGAAUGGUUUGACGAGACAUUAGCUGUCUUAGAUUAGUUGAAUAAUUUUGGUUGAAUUUAGUUUUUGAGUUAAAAUUCUUAGAUGUUUUUAUGGGACGAGAAGACCCUAUAGAGUUUGACAUUUGUAUUUAUUUACUGUUAGGUUGUUUGUUUAUUUUGAUUGAAUAAGGCAAAUGUUUUGUUGGGGUGAUGGGAGGAAUUAUAUAACUCCUCUUUAAUUUAUGUAUAUUUAUGUAUAUUUGUUUUGAUCCAUUUAUUUUGAUUAUAAGAUUAAAUUACCUUAGGGAUAACAGCGUUAUCUUCCCUGAGAGUUCUUAUUGGCGGGAAGGAUUGCGACCUCGAUGUUGGAUUAAGGUAAAUUUUCGGUGCAGGAGCUGGAAUUAAUUAGGUCUGUUCGACCUUUAAAAUCUUACAUGAUCUGAGUUCAGACCGGCGUGAGCCAGGUUGGUUUCUAUCUAUAAUAUUUUUUUAUAUCUUAGUACGAGAGGACCGGGUAUUUGGAAUAAUUUUAUUUAUUA
rnacentral:rRNA from 1 species